rnacentral:rRNA from 1 species
UCAGGAUGAACGCUGGCGGCGUAGCUUAAUACAUGCAAGUCGAACGGAGAAUGUAGCAAUACGUCUUAGUGGCGAACGGGUGAGUAACGCGUUGGUGACCUGCCCCGAAGAGAGGGAUAACAGUCCGAAAGGAUUGCUAAUACCCCAUGUGAUCAUUGAGGUUAGAGACUCGAUGAUUAAACGGAGAAUUUCGGCUUCGGGAGGGCCUGCGUACCAUCAGCUAGUUGGUGAGGUAAUGGCUCACCAAGGCUAUGACGGUUAGGGGACCUGAGAGGGUGGCCCCCCACAAUGGAACUGAAACACGGUCCAUACACCUACGGGUGGCAGCAGUAGGGAAUAUUGGUAAUGGGCGAAAGCCCUGAACCAGCAACGCCGCGUGUGCGAUGAAGGCCUUCGGGUCGUAAAGCACUUUUUGGAGGGACGAGGAAGGACGGUACCUCCAGAAUAAGCCUCGGCUAACUACGUGCCAGCCGCGGC